rfam:Arabis alpina cultivar Pajares chromosome 8, whole genome shotgun sequence.
GAGCCGUGCAGUGAGAACAAAGCGAACUAUUCUUUCGCCUUUUACUAAAGAAUACCGUGUUCUCUCUGCUCUUAAUCGGCAUACGCCUAUUUUUGGAAAGGGUUACAAAAAAACCUC